rnacentral:rRNA from 1 species
UAGGGAAUCUUCCGCAAUGGGCGAAAGCCUGACGGAGCAACGCCGCGUGAGUGAUGAAGGUUUUCGGAUCGUAAAGCUCUGUUGCCAGGGAAGAACGUCCGGUAGAGUAACUGCUGCCGGAGUGACGGUACCUGAGAAGAAAGCCCCGGCUAACUACGUGCCAGCAGCCGCGGUAAUACGUAGGGGGCAAGCGUUGUCCGGAAUUAUUGGGCGUAAAGCGCGCGCAGGCGGCUAUUUAAGUCUGGUGUUUAAACCUUGGGCUCAACCUGGGGUCGCACUGGAAACUGGAUGGCUUGAGUACAGAAGAGGAAAGUGGAAUUCCACGUGUAGCGGUGAAAUGCGUAGAGAUGUGGAGGAACACCAGUGGCGAAGGCGACUUUCUGGGCUGUAACUGACGCUGAGGCGCGAAAGCGUGGGGAGCAAACAGGAUUAGAUACCCUGGUAGUCCACGCCGUAAACGAUGAGUGCUAGGUGUUA